UCCUGGAACCACGGACCCGGGGGGGGUGUGCAAGGUUGGGGUGUGGGGGUAGUGGGGAAGGGGGAGCACCUGGCCUUCACACAGGUGGACUCCUGGAACCACGGACCCGGGACGGGGUGUGUGCAAGGUUGGGGUGUGAGGGUAGUGGGGAAGGGGGAGCACCUGGCCUUCACACAGGUGGACUCCGAAAAAGGACACUCACUGGUUGUCGAGGCAGACCCUGGGGAAGUGGGGAAGGGAGGAUGCCUGAGGGGACACAGGCGGACUACUGGACACGCGGACCUGGGAGAGACGAAAAAGGACACUCACUGGUUGUCGAGGCAGACCCUGGGAAAGUGGGGAAGGGAGGAUGCCUGAGGGGACACAGGCGGACUACUGGACACGCGGACCUGGGACAGACGAAAAAGGACACUCACCGGCCGUCGAGGCAGACCCUGGGAAAGUGGGGAAGGGAGGAUGCCUGAGGGGACACAGGCGGACUCCUGGACACGCGGACCUGGGAGAGACGAAAAAGGACACUCACCGGCCGUCGAGGCAGACCCUGGGGAAGUGGGGAAGGGAGGAUGCCUGAGGGGACACAGGCGGACUCCUGGACACGCGGACCUGGGAGAGACGAAAAAGGACACUCACCGGCCGUCGAGGCAGACCCUGGGGAAGUGGGGAAGGGAGGAUGCCUGAGGGGACACAGGCGGACUCCUGGACACGCGGACCUGGGAGAGACGAAAAAGGA